CUCGUAGGCGGUUAGUCACGUCGGAUGUGAAAACCCAGUGCUUAACACUGGGCCUGCAUUCGAUACGGGCUGACUAGAGUGUUGUAGGGGAGACUGGAACUCCUGGUGUAGCGGUGAAAUGCGCAGAUAUCAGGAGGAACACCGGUGGCGAAGGCGGGUCUCUGGGCAACUACUGACGCUGAGGAGCGAAAGCGUGGGGAGCAAACA
rnacentral:rRNA from 1 species